UACGUAGGGUGCGAGCGUUAAUCGGAAUUACUGGGCGUAAAGCGUGCGCAGGCGGUUUUGUAAGCCCGAUGUGAAAUCCCCGGGCUUAACCUGGGAAUGGCAUUUGGGACUGCAAGGCUUGAGUGCGGAAGAGGAGACUGGAAUUCCUGGUGUAGCAGUGAAAUGCGUAGAUAUCAGGAGGAAUACCGAUGGCGAAGGCAGGUCUCUGGGCUGACACUGACGCUCAUGCACGAAAGCGUGGGGAGCAAACAGG
rnacentral:rRNA from 1 species